AUGAAGACUGGAAUCGCUAGUGAUCGCGGAUCAGAAUGCCGCGGUGAAUACGUUCCCGGGUCUUGUACACACCGCCCGUCACACCAUGGGAGUCGGGAAUGCCCGAAGCCAGUGACCCAAGCGAAAGCAGGGAGCUGUCGAAGGCAGGCCGGAUAACUGGGGUGAAGUCGUAACAAGGUACC
rnacentral:rRNA from 1 species